rnacentral:siRNA from 1 species
CGCUCUGUUGCUGGUACCGCCUA